rnacentral:rRNA from 1 species
UGAGUAACACGUAUCCAACCUGCCGUCUACUCUUGGACAGCCUUCUGAAAGGAAGAUUAAUACAAGAUGGCAUCAUGAGUCCGCAUGUUCACAUGAUUAAAGGUAUUCCGGUAGACGAUGGGGAUGCGUACCAUUAGAUAGUAGGCGGGGUAACGGCCCACCUAGUCUUCGAUGGAUAGGGGUUCUGAGAGGAAGGUCCCCCACAUUGGAACUGAGACACGGUCCAA